UGGGGGAAUGACGUCAAAUCAUCAUGCCCCUUAUGACCUGGGCUACAAACGUGAUACAAUGGCUGAAACAAAGGGCAGCGAAGCAGUGAUGUGGAGCGAAACCCAAAAAAGCAGUCUCAGUUCGGAUUGAAGUCUGCAACUCGACUUCAUGAAGUUGGAAUCGCUAGUAAUCGUAGAUCAGAACGCUACGGUGAAUACCGUUCUCGGGUU
rnacentral:rRNA from 1 species